rnacentral:rRNA from 1 species
GCUCGCGGCCUAUCAGCUUGUUGGUGGGGUAGUGGCCUACCAAGGCGACGACGGGUAGCCGGCCUGAGAGGGCGACCGGCCACACUGGGACUGAGACACGGCCCAGACUCCUACGGGAGGCAGCAGUGGGGAAUAUUGCACAAUGGGCGAAAGCCUGAUGCAGCGACGCCGCGUGAGGGAUGAAGGCCUUCGGGUUGUAAACCUCUUUCAGCAGGGAAGAAGCGCAAGUGACGGUACCUGCAGAAGCAGCGCCGGCUAACUACGUGCCAGCAGCGGCGGUAAUACGUAGGGCGCAAGCGUUGUCCGGAAUUAUUGGGCGUAAAGAGCUGGUAGGCGGUUUGUCGCGUUUGGUGUGAAAACUCAAGGCUCAACCUUGAGCUUGCAUCGGGUACGGGCAGACUAGAGUGCGGUAGGGGAGACUGGAAUUCCUGGUGUAGCGGUGGAA